rnacentral:ncRNA from 1 species
UAAAUUUAGAGUUUGAUCCUGGCUCAGGACGAACGCUGGCGGCGUGCUUAACACAUGCAAGUCGAGCGAUGAAGCUUCCUUCGGGAAGUGGAUUAGCGGCGGACGGGUGAGUAACACGUGGGUAACCUACCUCAAAGUGGGGGAUAGCCUCCCGAAAGGGAGAUUAAUACCCCAUAAUAUAAGAAAAUCGCAUGAUUAUCUUAUCAAAGAUUUAUCGCUUUGAGAUGGACCCGCGGCGCAUUAGCUAGUUGGUGGGGUAACGGCCUACCAAGGCAACGAUGCGUAGCCGACCUGAGAGGGUGAUCGGCCACAUUGGAACUGAGACACGGUCCAGACUCCUACGGGAGGCAGCAGUGGGGAAUAUUGCGCAAUGGGGGAAACCCUGACGCAGCAACGCCGCGUGGGUGAUGAAGGUCUUCGGAUUGUAAAGCCCUGUUUUCUGGGACGAUAAUGACGGUACCAGAGG